GACGAACGCUGGCGGCGUGCCUAAUACAUGCAAGUCGAACGCAGUGGGGACGGGUGAGUAACACGUGGGUAACCUCCCAUCAGAGGGGAUAACAUAUGGAAACAGGUGCUAAACCGAUACUGAUGGAUGGACCCGCGGGUCAUUACCUAGUUGGUGAGGUAACGGUACACCAAGGCCACGAUGCAUAGCCGGCCUGAGAGGGUGACCAGCCACACUGGGACUGAGACACGGCCCAGACUCCUACGGGAGGCAGCAGUGGGGAAUCUUCGGCAAUGGACGAAAGUCUGACCGAGCAACGCCGCGUGAGUGAAGAAGGUUUUCGGAUCGUAAAGCUCUGUUGUUAGAGAAGCGGUAUCUAACCAGAAAGCAACGGCUAACUACGUGCCAGCCGCCGCGGUAAUAC
rnacentral:rRNA from 1 species